rnacentral:miRNA from 1 species
CAAGGAGACGGGAACAUGGAGC